CCAAAGUCGAACUGUUGUCACAUUUCAAUCUAUUUGAAAUCACAGAAGAGCUUCUGUUAUACAACUUAAAUUACAACCUUGGUAUCUCGCCAUGCAUUGAGAACAUUCCAGGGAGAGAGAGAGAGAGAGUGGACAAGAAUUUUAAUAAUUAAGUUCAUGAACAAUAUAUAAUAGCAAGACGCAAUAAUCCCCAGCUGUGUGAGAGCAGCAAUGUUAGUUUCGGUUUAUA
rnacentral:lncRNA from 1 species